rnacentral:lncRNA from 1 species
CCCGGUUGUACAUGAUUGCUUUUAUUUUUGAAACGACUCUUGUAUUAUGUGCUCUACCCAUUUGACAAUUUUCCAAAGAGAAUUUGUUCACUUUUUGAAUUUGUCAAAACUUAAAACUGAAAGUCAUCAAUGGUAAACAUAAGUAAAAUUGUUUAAUUAUUGAAUGAUUAAUCUCAAAUUACUAAUGCUCAAAUGUUAGAGUAACAAAAGUAAGCGAAUCUUAUAAUCUAGUUUGACCUUUUAACUACAAGUCUUGGUUUCUUAUGUUUCCUAAACAAUCAAAAUAACAAAACAAUAUCCAAUAGUAAUGUUAGUUUCAAAGACAUACACAUAAUCAACAAAUAGCAAUAGCUAAUAUUAAAAAAUGAGAGGAGGGGAGAUUUUAACUCUUGAUAUUGGGCUCGUUAGUAGUCAAGCUCAUCCGGAUUCAAACAAGCAGCAGACUCAACAAGUGCAGAGGAAGUGACCCAGACCUGGAACUUGGGUUUGAUUUCCAAAGGAACUUGCCAGACUCAAUUCGGACAUGCAUACAAAAGAAAAGAAGAUAAUUAGUGGAGAUCAAUUUAAGGUGAAAUAAGAUAAAGUCAUAACGACUAAUAAUAAUAAAGACACUCAAGAAUACAGUAAAAUUAGCUUUAUUUGUACCAACCCUAUGAGUAUUAAUUAAAGUCAAUGACCAAAGGCUUGGAGUAAACCUCAUUUUAUGGAUAAAGUCCCCUAUGGACCCCUGAUACUUCAGAGUUCACAAGGGUCACAUAGACCCCAAGUAAAGCUUUCGUCAGGGAGGGGUAGCUCAACCACAAAUCAAGCUCAUACCUAAAUACCCUUGAUUAUCAACUCUCACUCUUCCUAAAAGGUUUGGACACAAAUAUAAUGUCAACUUAGUAGUUUCACAUUGUUAGAAGUAAAUACAUAGCCACAUUAGACAUUGCAAUUAUCAUUAGAGCAUAAUCAGCUAAGAAGCAACACAAUAUUGACCUUAGGACAUCUUAUCAGAAUAAUAAGUACAAAGAUAAAUCAUUGUAGGUAGAUUUAUAGGGUUCCAAUAACAUCAAAGACCUUAAGGCUGAUCAUAGUAUGCAUCAGAACACUUAAGAGGAUCAUUAAUAAAAUGCGGUCAUAGAACAAAGAGAGCUAGUUGCAUAUUAUCAGUAGAUAGGUGUUAUCUUUAACCACUUCAAGUUCAUAGAUGCCUUAUUUAUGUGAUCUAAGCAUCAGUAAGUGACAAAGAACGAUAUGUUCACAGCUUUAUUAAUUCUAUUGAAGGUUCAGCAUUUCAGGAUCCUUGAAUAUGUUCAUGCCACUUAAAACAGGUCAGCAUGCAUUUCAAUAAUCUUCAGAACAGUCUAGAGCAAGCAUGCAUAUGUGUGUGUGUGUAUAUAUAUAUAUAACUGAGACCCCUACUACACUAGACACUUAUAUUAACAACCGUGUUCAGGCUUCCCAAAUUAUCAAUCCGCUAAACCAGCAGAGAUAUCAAUGCAUGUAGGAAAGUUAGUUUUAAUUUUGUUUGGACCUAACGAGGAUGAUAUCUAGUUGUGAUAAUGUAUAGUCUAACAGUUUUUCAAUUUGCAAGAUCCAAAUAUCACUCCAGUUCAUGAUUAAGUUCUUCUAUACAUAGUGAUGUCAACUGACACGAGUCAGUAAGUAGAGAUGUUCAUUCUCAUUUGAUUCAAGCAGGACAAUCAGAUCACAACAAGUUCAUUUACACAUGUAAGUAAUUUUACUAACAAGUUACACCAACAAACCAUUUUGGAUCCUACUGGCAUAGUACAUGUUCAACAUCAUUCAAUCAAGCUAUUAGGUUACCAGAGUGAACAAUUACCCAUAUUGACAAAAGAAGUCUUCUCAAAUAGUGUCUUAGACACCACAUGAUCAUGAAAGAUCCAAAAACAUAAAUGGUCAAAACCAAACAGAUAGAUGAAUGUAGAUCAUCAUUUAGUAGGACUACUGUGGCACCCUAAGUUAAGAUGUACCCACACCUUCACUAAAUUAUUAUGAUGACAUCCAAACCAUUAUCAAUAUAGACCAAGCAUGACUACGAUCUAAGGUUCUUUAGCUAAACAAUCGGAUAAUCAUAAUGAGAUAGGCACUACCAUUAGGGUAGAUUAACAGGAGGCUGCAAGAAAAUCAACAUGGUAACUUAAACAUAAAGUUCUCUUAGAUAAGGGCAUGCAAUGGUUCCUAAGCACUACUGGAUCAGCAAAAACAAUAUGAUAAGUGUAUAUAUAAGCAUAGAGGUCAAGCAGGAGUCAUUCAAUCAAUGCAAUAGUAUAAGUCACAUAUAGCUACUAACACGGAGCUCAAACAGUCAUGAGAUAGUGAAUGAUGAUAGGAAGUGGACAAGUUUAGUGAUAGCUAUGCUAACAAGUUCACCACAUAAUUUAAAACUAUAGUGAUAAACAUCCAUGAAUCACUUAUCAACAACAAGAUUGUUAGCUAAGGUCAGUAAAGCAGACAUAUCAAAUAUAAGACAGGAUUUGCAAUGAGAAUCAUUCAUUGGACCAAGACAAGGAAACUCAACUUCAUAGGCAUGAAGAUCAAGAUAACAUAUUACUGGAGAUAUGAAACCUUAACAGGACAUUAGGAAGAAUUCAAGAACAUAAUUCAAUUGAUUUAGCUGACAUGAUAGUGUUCAUACGGCAGUCAUCAAACUAAUAGGGGUGAAUCAAACAUAAAAUCAACAUAAGGGUCAAUUCAACUAAUCAUGGAAGACUUAGCAGGAUUUAUCCAUUAGAAUAGCAUCGGUGUAGAAAUAUCUUAACUAACUAAAUCAUGAGAAGUAAAAUUCAAUAACCAUAACAGAUUAAGUAACAUAGUACAACUAUCAUGAAAUGUCAUUAAUCACAUGAAUAGCUAGACAUAAUGAAAGCCUCGUAUUAUUAUGAACAAACAAGUGAUUAUUGACAGAUGAUGAUAACAAGAAAGUAAAAAUCAGAAGAAAAAGAGGGGAAACCAUUGUAAGAUUUUUACCUUAGCCCGAUGGGAGGAGAAGGUCAACCAUUGGAGUACUGAAGAAAUAUCGGUUAGAGCUCCAUAUCCUAAGGUCACGGUGUUUGACCUCUGGACAACAUAUGAUGAUUAUGAGGUAGAAGACAUGGUCAUGCAUGCUUCGAUUUGAUCGGAUAGGGGGAUGAUGAAUAAAAUCCCAGAUUGCACUUUUUAGGUCUAGGGUUCUGGGGUUUGUGAUUUGAAUCGGAGUGAUGAGAAAGGAAAGGAAUCGGCAAGAUUCGCGGUUAGAAGGGACAGAAGGGGUGAUUUGGGUUUGAUUUUGUGCAAGGUUUUGGAUUGAUGGGUUUGCAGGGUUUGAGAGAACAGGGGAAGAAAUAGGAAAUGAGGACGGCCACUUGGUGAUAGAAUGAUUAGAGUUAGAGGCAUCUCUAAGGUUAAAAACAAGAGAUGCAAUGUGAGUCGUUAGAUCUUUUGAUCAACGGCUCCGAAUCUUCGAAGAAUAAAUAUUGAUAGAAAGAUUUAUUGCGGAAAAGUGAAGGUCAUUGGAUCUUAGUGAUUCAACCGCUGAGACUAGAUGCAGAACAAUUAUAAAAGUAAAAAGAAAAAUAGGGAUUAAUCGUAAACUGUUGAUGGAUUGGACAAACAUUCCAGAUCUCUUCUAUUUCUUGUGUGACUGUUUAUGAGGUGUGAUGUGGCAUUUUUUGAUUGGCUUAAAAUAGGUGGCAUGGAUUGUUAACUUGGACAAGGGGGUGGGUUCAAAUGCGUGUCAGGCACAUUGGCCUUGUGAUUUUUGGGCCAAAUAUGCAGGAAUGUACUUUAAAUUGUAACCACAUUGAGUUUAAUGUGACAAUUGCUAUUACAGCUUUUUUGAGUUUUUAAACCCUCUUUAUAAUUAAAUUAAUUAGAUUUAAUUAAUCCCAACUGAAUGUAAUAAAAUAUAAUUAUAAAAUAUAUUAACUAAUCACUAUAGUUAUUUUGUUGUUAAAAUAAUUAAUAUUCCAGAUAUAAAAUUGUACGAAUUAAUUUCGGCUAAUCAAAGUAAUAUAAUUGUAAUUUUUAGACUAAAUUAUUAAAUAUAUUGUAAAACUUAUUUAUUAAGAUGUGAAAUGUAAUUUUAAUUAAUUAAAUCAGUAGGAGUAAAAUAAUUUUUAAAUAUUUAAUACUAAAUUACUAUUACUUAAAUAUUUUUAAUUAUUAUGUAUUAUAUCGUUUAUAUUUUAAGAAAAUAUUUAAAAAUACUUUGCUACAUUUAUUUCUGAUUAAUAAGCGUAUAUAAUUUACUUUAAUGGGAGAGGGUCAAAAUUGGUCGUUAAAAUCGGUAACGUGGACUCAAUUCUUUCUUUUACUAAUAUACAGGAGUCUCCUAUAACUGUAAGAAUGUCAACAUAUAUGAUGGAUGCAUAAUAAUUUGAAAUCUUAAGUGUGUUCAUAAGAUAAAUAACUUUGGGUCAUAGAUCGAAUAAUUCCUUUCAUGCCUUCUUAGUUGUCUUUAAACAUGAGCAAGUACUUUUCCUGGUCGUUCUACCACUUGUUGUAUGAAUACUUGGCUUAUGUUACUUCCGACGCAUAGUAGAAUUUGCGUAACUCAUAUGAUCUCAAAUGUUACUUUUGAUUUCACUUCCCGUUUAUUAGUCAAGAUAGGUGCUACUUUCUUAUGGAGUGCAUACAACGUUCUAAUGAGGCUACUGUUACAAGAUUAUUUCUUCUAUAAUAUUGAAUUCAGGUUGCUAUGCUUAGGUUAAAGCGUUAUUCCUUAUUUCCUCAACUAGUCUUUCGUUGUAGUACAUAGAGGACACCCCUUGACUCUUGUAACGUUGCGAGCUUAUCACAUUAUAUAUCUUACGGUAUUUUCGAUGUCCCUACUCGCUUAUAUUUAUCCUUAGUUACUUCCCUCCAUGCCUUUGUGAUCGUAGGGUUACUUCUAAACUCAAAUUGUGAUUGUCUCCCUUGCGCCACUCUCUUUUAUUUCUGUAACACUCAUAUGGUACCUUUAAUUACCUCAACUCCUAUCUGAAUACUUCUCAAAGAUUACGAUCUCAUAUAUGCGAGACUGAAUUUCCUUUGCUGGGGUUCACUAUGUGUAUCUUGCAUGAUCUGCUGAUUUAUUUGUGACGUCUUGACUAGCCAUAACUAGGCUCUUCUUAAAUCGACUACCAACUAAUGUAUAGUCCAUUCACAUAUCUAUAUUCUGCGUAACCUCUCUUAGGUUAUGUCUUUUGUCUUAACUUACGUCUCGCAUUGGUUCCUUAUGUAUCAAAUGUCCAUUCACACUUAUUUAUCAAUUAACAUCCUUGUCGGGAACCCUUACUGCAUCUUCCUGUCGUGACACAGCUAUAAGAACUGAAUAAAUGCAAUCUCAUUCCUUUCGCCUUUUUACCGCAUUCUUCCUUUACCAUUCUAUAUUUACCUGAACGACUUAACUCCGACUUAAUACCAUAUCACACCAUUUUUCUACUUUAGGGGAGUACAAAUAUUUAAUUCUCUGAAGUUUUAUGUGUAGAUGUUUUACCUCUUCAUCUUCGGCGUUUUCUCACAUGUCCAAUGACCCUUAACCGUCUUGCGGUAACCUUUCUAUUCCACGGAUAAAAGAAUUCCUUACACAUGAAGGUGACACCUAGUGUAACUGGCACACUUAGUCCCUUAAGCUUAACUUUGUUCACAUUUCUUGCUAAAGGAAAGCGUCUUCCUGAAUGACCUUUAAAGGUUAUUCUUUUGUUGUCCAUUCUAUUAGUGUCGGAAUGAGUCUCUAUAAUUCUCACAAUGUCGAUAAUUAUCGAAUCCUCUGGUCCCUAAUUCAUGUUCGUUUUAUCGUUUUUACUAGCUUGUACUGAUUCUAUUACUCUGUGGAUCCAACUUGUCCUUCUAGUAAUCACGUAGUUACUAACUCAUUUCUCGAAAUGAUGAUAUGACUUUAUGACUUAUAUUAUUUUACAGUCUCAAGGCAUGUCUCCUCUUGUAUUUUCAUUCACAUGAGUAUAGACUUUGUCAUCUUGUCAUAUUUUCUUUUACCUUUAUUAACCCAUUUAUUACAUCAUAAUGCUUUAUUUACUAUUUACUUAUUUUCUCUCUAAUGUUUCUGUCUAUUACCUUAUUCUGAAAACUUCAACAAAAUAUUCUCUCGCUUUAGCUCCCCUUGCUUCAUCUCACUGGAACUUCAGAUCGCCUAACUUCUCUCCUUACUAGGUACAUGUCACGACCCAAACUACCAUGUCGUGAUGGCGCCCAUCGUGGUACUUGGCUAGAUGACUCUUUACCAAAAACAACAAGAUAUUUCAUUUCAAAGAUAAAUUCAAGCUAUUUAAUAAUAAAAUAUCAUAAAGAAAUUCUAAACAACGAAAGUGCGGAAAGAAAAGCCUGACAUCAGGGUAUCACAAGUCAUGAGCACCUAUUACAAUUUGUCCGAAAAUACUGAGACUAAUACAGUGUGGAAAGUAACUGCAAACAACUAUAGGAAGAUAGGAGGGAGAAGAUCAGGGUUCCGAUCGCCAUCAGCUAUCUUGCUAACUCCAAGAAGAUCCACAGCUGGAAUAGUCAAUAGCCGCUACCGGGUCCUGAUAUGCCUGGAUAUGCACACAAGGUGCAGGAAGUAACGUGAGUACGCCAACUCAAUAAGUAACAAAAGUAAAUAAAGGCUGAGAAGUAGUGACGAGCAAUAAAGCAUUUAAAGCUCAUAUCAUGGAGCCUGAGUAAAAUACAACAGACUUUUAAAAUCAGGGUUGAAUCAAAUCAUCUAUUUUAAACCCAGUUCUAGUAAAAAUCAUUUAAAGAUAUUUUUCGAUAGUUUUCAAAUAAAGGCUCAAUGCAAAGGUGGGCAAAAAUUAUGAAAUCAUAAAUAACCCCCCGGGCAAAACAUCACUCAUAUACAGUCCCUUCGGGCAAACCUUACAGUCACUCGUAUACAACCCCUUGGGCAUACCUCACCAUCAUUCAUGCCUCCCAGUCACUCAGCACUCGCACUCAGUGGGUACCUGCGCUCACUGGGAGUGUGUAGACUCUGGAUGAGCUCCUUCAGCCUAAGCGCUAUAACAAGCCAACUCGUGGCAUAAAUCAAUCAAACCCUCGGCCUAUAUCAAAAUAUGAUGCGGCGUGCAGCCCGAUCCCAUAAAUAUCCUCACAAAUUAGGCCCUCGGCCUCACUCAGUCAUAAACCUCUCAAGCCAUUCCGACUCUCAGUAAAAACAAGGUCUUCAGCCCAAAACAACAUUUAUAUGCAUCAAAAUAGAGUAGUAAAGAUUGAGUCGUGCAAUAAAUAAGUAUAACUGUGACUGGGUAUAGAUUUUUCAACCGAAAACAAUGAGAGGAUAAUAAGAAAAAGACCCCUAAGGGUCCAAAAAGCUCUGGCACAAGGCCUAAACUUGGCAUUCAACCCAAUUUACAGAAACUCUUUCUAAAACACAUACGUAUCAUAUAGUUUCAAACAAAUAUGCAACUUUACAGUUGCUAUGGGAUGGACCAAAGUUGCUAUGGGAUGGACCAGGUCAUAAUCCCCAACGAUUCACGCCUACACGCCCGUCACCUAGCAUGUGUGUCACCUCAAAAUAGUAAAACAAUACGAAAUCCGGGGUUUCAUACCCUCUGGACUAGAUUUACAAUCGUUACUUACCUCAAGCUGAUCAAAUCUCUACUCUGCGAUGCUCUUGCCCCACUACAAGAAAAAGUGCCUAUAGCGAGGGGAAAACGAUCGUUAAAAGUCCAAAUCCGGUCGUUAUAAACUUGUAGAGACUGGAGAAAAUCCGGUCGUCACCGGUCGUUAAAAGCUUUGACGUUAAAAGUUAACGACCGGACUGUAAGUCGACCGUUAAAGAUCCUUUAGCGACAACAUAAAUUCCGGUCGUUGUGUCUUUUUUAGCGACAAAUUUUCUCUUCGUUAAAUUGUCAUCCCGAUCGUUAAAAAACUUUAUGGGAGCAACGAAUUUGGUCGUUACAGGUACUUUUAUAGCCCAAAUUUCCCUUCGCUAAUGAGAAGUUUUACUAAAUAUAAUUAUAGAACUUUAUUUUACUGAAUAUAAAAUAAUUAUUUCAUAUGCUUUCAUACACAUACGACACAAUCAAACCUAUAUUAAAUAAUCAGAAUUCAUAUGAAACUUCAUCAUUGAUACAAUGAACUAAAGAAUAAUAAAACCAUCCAAAUUGUAUGACAAUAUUUUAACAACUUCUAAACGUAGAAAAAAAUGCAUUCAAUGUACAUCAGAUAUCUUUAAACCACCCCAACAAAAUAAAUUUCUUGUAUUUCAACUUUUUCCUCUGCACUUUUUCAAGGAUUGAUAUUUCGAACUUCCAAAUUCUUGAUCUGCUACACUUUACUCGUAUAUGAUUUGUAUUAGAACUACUAGACCAUGCGAAGCAAUUUGCAGUCUAAAGUAAUCUUUAUUUGCAAAAUUGCAACUAAAGAUUAUCUCCAGAUGAUAUCUCAUGCUCAAUUCUAGGUAAGCCUUCACGGCACUUUGACUUUACCAAACAUGAUCCUUGCAGCUUGUUGGAUUAUGCCUUCAACAUCUCCAUAACUUGAGCAACCUUGAAAGUGUUAAACUUUGUUGAGAAUCGAAGAAAAUCUAGUGUAACCUGAAAGACACCGUUAUGAAGAAGCAAAUGCCUCUCCAUUAGAAUUGGACUUUACAUAGUUAGUGAAAUGUAAAUCUUCUAAUAUAAAGUAACAUAUGCAUCGUAAAAAAGCUACAACACUUAAAGAUUUGAAUCACAAUAUUAGGUGAUAUGUUACUACAGUUAGCUGAUGCAUGAAAGAGGAAAGUUAUAAUGAGUACAUAAACGUGUUUAGUAAGCAGAACAUAAAUAAUCACACAAUCAAGUGCUUUCACAGUUCAAUCAAGUGUUUAGUAAGCAACCCUCUUUGUGUUUAUCAGUAUAUAAAGAAUCACAUAAUUUCUUUUGCGAUUAACUGUCUAAGAAAUUGUUAAAUCUGAUUCAAGCUUUGAAAAAUAGGUUAUUAGCCCAUUCAUAUUUAUUGGAAGAGAAAAAAUAGCUCAUUCAUUAUUAUCAGAAGAGAAAAAAGAGCUCAUUCAUUAUUUAAAGGAGCGCAAAUUAUUAACUUGGUUUUAAAAGAGCUGCUGAAUCUGAUAUGAUAGGCAAAAUGUGGGAAAUAGGAAGCAGAAAUAAAGUUCUCCAGAAAUAGCAUGCACUACUCCACUCCCAUUAGGUAUAACGUUUUCGGUUCAAUUAACAAAACACAAUUAAAGAACUAAGAGACAACUAAAAACUAUGUAAAAAUUUAAAUCAAUUAACUCAAGAUGACAACAUGUCCAUUGUUAUAUUACUGUUAGUAGGCAAUCUUCAGUUUACUCAUGAAUUUUUCUAAAGUAAUUCUUCGAGCUUUAAUUAAUCCACUUCAGAUUAUAUCCUAAUUCUGCUCUUCCUCUUAUUAUUGCUUUUACUUUACUAAACGUGAUGAAUAGGCAUUAAUUUAUAGUUCUCAAUCUUUCUUUAAUGUCACUCAAAACAAUCUCCAGAGAUUUACGUCAACAGAAAUGUUAAGCACAAGAGCAUUUUAUUCCAUUACAAAUGAUCCAAAAAAAGAGAGCAUUUUAUUCAAUUAUAUAACAACAAGUAUCACAGAGCUCAAUGCAACAACUUAGACAAAGAAAAGAAUUAUAUGUGGAACUUAGUCAUUUGGUCAGGAUCCUUCUUCAAUAUACCCACUUUUCUCACUUUCUUCCUCUCUUUCUUGUUCUGGGGAAAUAUUAAAAAACAAAAAUAAAUAAAUUCCACAUAAACCCCACCUAAUAACUUGUUACGGGAUAUUCAAACAAACAGCUCUUCAUAAGAACCAUCCUUUAAUUUUCCUUUUGUUUCAAAUAGAUGUCUCAUAAGAUUCAAAGUUUGUCUGCAUGUACAUAAAAACGUAAAAUAUGCAAGUAAAAAUAAUAGGUUUGAAGGUUAUGUCCACAAAAGCAUAUAAGCAAAACAAUUGUAUCAUAUUACAAAUGAUAUAAACAUGUAGCCACUGCUAGAUAAUCGAUCUUUCCUAUCAGAGAAUUAAUCUCAUAAUUUUAGAGGAGUCCUAUAAUAAGGAUGAAGUAUAUGAAGCCAUAUUUAAGACAUUUAGAAUGAGGAUACAUGAACAUAUAUCUAUAACAGUUCAAGUGCAAGAAAAAUGUCAAUUAACAUAAAGCAAUCUACAUGAGAUUAUCAUCUCUUUUUUAUAAAUAGACCACAUUACCACAGUCUAAACAAAAGUUCCAAUUUUUUACAAUAAUAUGAAUAAAAGUGAAUCAAGAGAGAAAAUAUCUUAACAUUAAAAGAUUACCCAUGUUCUGUUGAGAUUAUUUAUGACUAAAUUCCAUAUGCUUUCUG